ensembl:lncRNA
GAAAGUAAAGCGCGACUCCACGUGAAUCGCCAAAGAUAAUCGACUGGCCCUCCAGAGAGACAUUGACCAGGAAUCACAGCCCAGAGAACCGAAAAGACUUUUGUUAGCACAGGGGAUGGUAACCCUAGACAUGGUGAAAGGCGACAUGGCAGAAGCGGAUGAACGACGUGAAAAAGAGACGCUGGCGAAGGAGAAGAAACAGAAAGGUCGGAAAAACAAAGAUGCAGCCGGCUGUGAGGACGAUAAGAGCUUCAAGACGGCUAAGAAAAAGAAGGAUGAGGUAACCAAGGAAGGUUCUCUAAACACAGAGAAGAAGAAGACGAUGAAGAAGAAAAGGGAGCUUGAAGACCAGGAAGAACCUUCUGGAAAGAAAAAGAAGGAUGAGGUAACCAAGGAAGGUUCUCUAAACACAGAGAAGAAGAAGACGAUGAAGAAGAAAAGGGAGCUUGAAGACCAGGAAGAACCUUCUGGAAAGAAACAGAAGAAGCUCAAGAAAACCAACCACAAAUCGGUUCAGUCCAAAGCAGAGGAAGAAGAAGUGUUGGCUACGAAAAAGAUCAAGUCUAAAAAGGUCAAGGCCCAGAAUCCAAGUGAGGUGAUAAAUAUAGACGAAAGUGAGGAGGAGGAGGUCGUUGUGAUGAAGAAGACGACAAAGAAGAAGACGACGGGAUCUAAAACAUCUGUGACCAAGACGAUAGCCAGUGAGGAAGAAUCCCAGGGGGUCAAUCAGAAGGCCAAGAAGAGUAGAGCGCAUUUAGAAAUGGGCAAGGACACGCUCGAAACUGUCCAGAAGAAGAAAGGAAAGCAGGAGGAAACCAAGCCUAUCAAAGGGAAGAAAGGGUCCAGUAGUGUUGUGGUCGUGGAGGAAGAUGGUCCAAAGCCAAAGAAGAAAAAGGAAAUAAACAGGGGGAAAAGAGAGGUUUCCCUGAAGGUCGAGGUAGCCCAGGAGGUGAGCAUCGUCGACGAUAAGCAGCAGAAGAGUAAAAAAAAGAAAAAUGCUAAGGAAGACAAACAGACAGCCGUCAAGGAUAUGGCACAGAAUACGGAGACGUUUGUCUUUGUGGCCUCUGACUCGAAGGGCAAAGUAAAAGGGGGUAUAAAGGGAGCUCCAGAAGAAAUCAAAACGAAGGCAAAGAAGGAGGAGGUAGAAGUCAGUGUGGACAAGGAGGAGAAGAAGAAGAAGAGGAGAAAGAAGAUCAAAUUGGAGGAGGAGGCCCCUCAGCCACCCCCAGAG